GUAUGGUAGGAAAAACCGCCAUGCAAUGGGAAGACGUGAUGUGGAGUGAAAUAUAGUAACGAAGCCCGUGAGCCAUGCGUCAAGAAAAGCCGCUAUUGUUUAUAUUGUACCCGUACCGUAAACCGACACAGGUGGAUGAGGAGAGAAUCCUAAGGCCGGCGGAAGAAGUAUUGCCAAGGAACACGGCAAAAUGGCCCCGUAACUUAGGGAGAAGGGGUGCCUGCGAGAGUAGGCCGCAGAGAAUAGGCUCAAGCAACUGUUUAGCAAAAACACAGGUCUAUGCGAAACCGAAAGGUGAGGUAUAUGGGCUGACGCCUGCCCGGUGCUGGAAGGUUAAGAGGAGAGGUUAGACGCAAGUCGAAGCUUUGAAUUUAAGCCCCAGUAAACGGCGGCCGUAACAAUAACGGUCCUAAGGUAGCGAAAUUCCUUGUCGGGUAAGUUCCGACCCGCGCGAAAGGCGUAAUGAUUUGAGCGCUGUCUCGGCAAUACAUCCGGUGAAAUUGAAGUGCCAGUGAAGAUGCUGGCUACCCGCGCCAGGACGGAAAGACCCCAUGGAGCUUUACUCCAGUUUGGCACUGGGGUCCGGUGUUGCAUGUACAGGAUAGGUGGGAGGCUGAGAGAUAGUGACGUCAGUUGCUAUGGAGCCGCUGUUGGGAUACCACCCUUGUGAUAUUGGGCUUCUAACCAGCCGCCGUAAUCCGGCGGUGGGACAAUGCCAGGCGGGGAGUUUGACUGGGGCGGUCGCCUCCGAAAGGGUAUCGGAGGCGCCCAAAGGUUCCCUCAGAAUGGACGGAAACCAUUCGAAGAGUGCAAAGGCAGAAGGGAGCUUGACUGCGACACCGACGGGUGGAGCAGGUACGAAAGUAGGGCUUAGUGAUCCGGUGGUAUUAAGUGGGAAUGCCAUCGCUCAACGGAUAAAAGCUACCCUGGGAUAACAGGCUUAUCACUCCCAAGAGUUCACAUCGACGGAGUGGUUUGGCACCUCGAUGUCGGCUCAUCGCAUCCUGGGGCUGUAGUAGGUCCCAAGGGUUGGGCUGUUCGCCCAUUAAAGCGGUACGCGAGCUGGGUUCAGAACGUCGUGAGACAGUUCGGUCCCUAUCCGGCGUGGGCGUAGGAUAUCUGAGAGGAGCUGUCCUUAGUACGAGAGGACCGGGAUGGACGGACCGCUGGUGGACCGGUUGGCUUGCCAAAGCCAUGGCCGGGUAGCCAAGUCCGGAAGGGAUAAACGCUGAAGGCAUCUAAGCGUGAAGCCCCCCUCAAGAUGAGAUAUCCCAUUCUUUAAGAAGUAAACCCCCUUGAAGACGACGAGGUAGAUAGGGCAGAGGUGGAAGUGUGGUAACACAUGGAGCUGACUGUUACUAAUCGGGUGAGGGCUUGGC
rnacentral:rRNA from 1 species